GAUGAACGCUGGCGGCGUGCCUAAUACAUGCAAGUCGAGCGAACAGACGAGGAGCUUGCUCCUCUGACGUUAGCGGCGGACGGGUGAGUAACACGUGGAUAACCUACCUAUAAGACUGGGAUAACUUCGGGAAACCGGAGCUAAUACCGGAUAAUAUAUUGAACCGCAUGGUUCAAUAGUGAAAGACGGUUUUGCUGUCACUAAUAGAUGGAUCCGCGCCGCAUUAGCUAGUUGGUAAGGUAACGGCUUACCAAGGCGACGAUGCGUAGCCGACCUGAGAGGGUGAUCGGCCACACUGGAACUGAGACACGGUCCAGACUCCUACGGGAGGCAGCAGUAGGGAAUCUUCCGCAAUGGGCGAAAGCCUGACGGAGCAACGCCGCGUGAGUGAUGAAGGUCUUCGGAUCGUAUAACUCUGUUAUUAGGGAAGAACAAAUGUGUAAGUAACUAUGCACGUCUUGACGGUACCUAAUCAGAAAGCCACGGCUAACUACGUG
rnacentral:rRNA from 1 species